GGGGGUUUAGCUCAGCGGCAUAAGCGCCUGCCUUGCAAGCAGGAGUCGUGAGUUCAAUCCCUG
rnacentral:tRNA from 1 species